CAGUCAGAAUACGUAAGUCGCUCUGGAUAAGAGCGUCUGCUAAAUGACUUAAA
rfam:Salmo salar isolate Sally breed double haploid chromosome ssa09, whole genome shotgun sequence.